GACGAACGCUGGCGGCAGGCUUAACACAUGCAAGUCGAACGCCCUCUUCGGAGGGAGUGGCAGACGGGUGAGUAACGCGUGGGAACGUGCCCUUCGGUACGGAACAACAGUUAGAAAUGACUGCUAAUACCGUAUACGACCUUUGGGUGAAAGAUUUAUCGCCGAAGGAUCGGCCCGCGUUAGAUUAGCUUGAUGGUGGGGUAAAGGCCUACCAUGGCGACGAUCUAUAGCUGUUCUGAGAGGAAGAUCAGCCACACUGGGACUGAGACACGGCCCAG
rnacentral:rRNA from 1 species